CUAAUCUCUUAAAACCAAUUCUCAGUUCGGAUUGCAGGCUGCAACUCGCCUGCAUGAAGUCGGAAUCGCUAGUAAUCGCGGAUCAGCACGCCGCGGUGAAUACGUUCCCGGGCCUUGUACACACCGCCCGUCACACCACGGAAGUUGGGAGUACCCAAAGUAGGUUGCCUAACCGCAAGGAGGGCGCUUCCUAAGGUAAGACCGAUGACUGGGGUGAAGUCGUAACAAGGUACC
rnacentral:rRNA from 1 species